rnacentral:rRNA from 1 species
UAACAAGGUUUCGGUAGGAGAACUUGCGGAAGGAUCAUUAACGAGUUUUGAAACGGGUUGUAGCUGGCCUUCCGAGGCAUGUGCACGCCCUGCUCAUCCACUCUACACCUGUGCACUUACUGUAGGUUGGCGUGGGUUUCUGGCCUUCGGGUCAGAAGCAUUCAGCCGACCUAUGUACACUACAAACUCUUAAAGUAUCAGAAUGUAAACGCGUCUAACGCAUCUUAAUACAACUUUCAGCAACGGAUCUCUUGGCUCUCGCAUCAAUGAAGAAGCAGCGAAAUGCGAUAAGUAAUGUGAAUUGCAGAAUUCAGUGAAUCAUCGAAUCUUUGAACGCACCUUGCGCUCCUUGGUAUUCCGAGGAGCAUGCCUGUUUGAGUGUCAUGAAAUUCUCAACCCAUAAAUCCUUGUGAUCUAUGGGCUUGGAUUUGGAGGCUUGCUGGCCGUAACGGUCGGCUCCUCUUGAAUGCAUUAGCUUGAUUCCGUGCGGAUCGGCUCUCAGUGUGAUAAUUGUCUACGCGGUGACCGUGAAGCGUUUGGGCGAGCUUCUAACCGUCCAUUAGGACAAUUUUAUAACAUCUGACCUCAAAUCAGGUAGGACUACCC